AGUGAACGCUGGCGGCGUGCCUAAUACAUGCAAGUCGAACGGACUGGCGCACGGGUGAGAAAUAUAUAGCUAAUCUGCACCUUGCUGGAGGACACCAGUUAGAAAUGAUUGCUAAUACUCAAUAGGAAGGGAUGAGACUAUAUCGUAUGAGCUAGUCGGUGGGGUAACGGCGUACCGAGGCGAGGACGCGUAACUGGUCUGAGAGGAUAAGCAGUAACAUGGGAACGGAGACACCGUCCAAGCACCUUCCGGAAGCAGCAGUAGGUAAUAUUGCGCAAUGGGGGAAACGCUGACACGGCAUCGCCGCGUGAAGGAUGACACUUUUCGGAGAGUAAAUGUCUUUUGAUAGGGAAGCGGUACCUAACGAAUAAGCACCGGCUAACUCCGUGCCAGCAGCCGCGGUAAUAC
rnacentral:rRNA from 1 species